AUCGUACAUUUGUUUUCAACAGACUUAAUACACUGAUAGAUCUGCAUGGUAGCACUCGCGAGAUGUUAUAAACCAGCGUACGUGUUCUCAAUCGAGCGACCUCCCGAUUGAAAUUGUCCGCCAAAUACAUGCCAGGUCAUUUUGUAUGUCUCAGACAAUGUUGAGAAUUAUUCGUUGGUUAUAUGUCCUACAACACGAGGAAGCAGAUACGACACAAAGAAGCUAUUUUCUGAUAAUACCAGACACCCUCUACUCUCCAAUUCCAUUAUCAUAUGGUCUAUGUGUGUGAACGCAAAAUAUAAUGAGACUUUCCAAUGCUCUUUUGGCGUGUUUUCAGGGUGAUUGGCUCUGGUAGUCUGUCGAAUACAUCGCCUCGGCAUAUUUUCAAUAAUAUCAAAGGGUUUCGAUAAAUCUAAUGGUCGAUUGGUACAUCGCAUCGCAAACAGAUAAGCCGUACUCUGUAAAAUGUGCUCCGAAACUACACGUCUUAGACUGAGUAUAAUAAAUUCAAAUCUGGUAAAAUGAUACAAGUUACUGUCUGAUUUUUAC
rnacentral:lncRNA from 1 species